rnacentral:lncRNA from 1 species
ACAGAAACAGAGCUGGAGAACAGAGGAUCAGGAACAGAAACAUAGAGCUGGAGAACAGGGGAUCAGGAACAGAAACAUAGAGCUGGAGAACAGAGGAUCAGGAACAGAAACAUAGAGCUGGAGAACAGGGGAUCAGGAACAGAAAUAUAGAGCUGGAGAACAGAGGAUCAGGAACAGAAACAUAGAGCUGGAGAACAGAGGAUCAGGAACAGAAACAGAGCUGGAGAACAGAGGAUCAGGAACAGAAACAUAGAGCUGGAGAACAGGGGAUCAGGAACAGAAACAUAGAGCUGGAGAACAGGGGAUCAGGAACAGAAACAUAGAGCUGGAGAACAGAGGAUCAGGAACAGAAACAUAGAGCUGGAGAACAGGGGAUCAGGAACAGAAAUAUAGAGCUGGAGAACAGAGGAUCAGGAACAGAAACAUAGAGCUGGAGAACAGGGGAUCAGGAACAGAAACAUAGAGCUGGAGAACAGGGGAUCAGGAACAGAAACAUAGAGCUGGAGAACAGGGGAUCAGGAACAGAAACAUAGAGCUGGGGAACAGGGGAUCAGGAACAGAAACAUAGAGCUGGAGAACAGGGGAUCAGGAACAGAAACAUAGAGCUGGAGAACAGGGGAUCAGGAACAGAAACAUAGAGCUGGAGAACAGGGGAUCAGGAACAGAAACAUAGAGCUGGAGAACAGGG